ensembl:snoRNA
CCUCCUUUUCUUGGUGGGGACUGGGCUUGUGGUCUGGCUCUCUGUAAUGUACGGAGGAAGAGGGAAAGGGCUCUGGCCCCCUUGGCGUCAUGUCUUCUGUGCUGAUGGCUUCCCAUUCGCUGGUUCUAUCCUCAAGCGCUGAGACACUG